rnacentral:rRNA from 1 species
GACGAACGCUGGCGGCGUGCUUAACACAUGCAAGUCGAACGAAAAGAGGGAAAGAGCUUGCUCUUUCCGGAAUUGAGUGGCAAACGGGUGAGUAACACGUAAACAACCUGCCUUCAGGAUGGGGACAACAGACGGAAACGACUGCUAAUACCGAAUAAGUUCCAAGAGCCGCAUGGCCCAUGGAAGAAAAGGUGGCCUCUACCUGUAAGCUAUCGCCUGAAGAGGGGUUUGCGUCUGAUUAGCUGGUUGGAGGGGUAACGGCCCACCAAGGCGACGAUCAGUAGCCGGUCUGAGAGGAUGAACGGCCACACUGGAACUGAGACACGGUCCAGACUCCUACGGGAGGCAGCAGUGGGGAAUCUUCCGCAAUGGGCGAAAGCCUGACGGAGCAACGCCGCGUGAGUGAUGACGGCCUUCGGGUUGUAAAACUCUGUGAUCCGGGACGAAAAGGCAGAGUGCGACGAACAAACUGCAUUGACGGUACCGGAAAAGCAAGCCACGGCUAACUACGUG